rnacentral:rRNA from 1 species
UACAGGGGGUGCAAACGUUGCUCGGAAUCAUUGGGCGUAAAGGGCGCGUAGGCGGCUCUGCGUGUCUUCCGUGAAAUCCCUCGGCUCAACUGAGGACGUGCGGAAGAAACUGCAGGGCUGGAGUCCGGGAGAGGAGAGUGGAAUUCCCAGUGUAGCGGUGAAAUGCGUAGAUAUUGGGAGGAACACCGGUGGCGAAGGCGGCCCUCUGGACCGGUACUGACGCUGAUGCACGAAAGUGUGGGGAUCAAACAGG